UCAAAACAAGCUUUUUGACUAUCACAGAUUCCAAACAUGGCCUGGGGCUAAGGUCUGUCAAGCUGUUAUAAUUAUUGUAACAAGCGACCUCAAUUAUCCAUUGUCCUUGGGAAAUACUGUAUGAACCAGGAGAGAGGAACUCUAUUUGUUCACGUGCACGCACCAUGGAGUAUUGCAAGCUGUGCAUGCGAUUUGUCAAUGAAACCUAUCUCUAAUUUAGAUAUUGACGAAUGUUCUACGGGAACUCAUACAUGCCAUGCUAAUGCGAACUGUACGGAUACAAUUGGUUCCUAUACAUGUGCAUGUAUAGAAUUUUUCACUGGAAAUGGGACACACUGUGCAGGUAGGAAAAAAGAGUUUUGAGUUUCUAUUGUUGCUUGAUCGAAGGCUUCCAUCCUGAUUUUAUGCCCAUAAAUAAAUUU